AUUAGAGUUUGAUCCUGGCUCAGAUUGAACGCUGGCGGCAGGCCUAACACAUGCAAGUCGAGCGGUAGCACAGAGAGCUUGCUCUCGGGUGACGAGCGGCGGACGGGUGAGUAAUGUCUGGGAAACUGCCUGAUGGAGGGGGAUAACUACUGGAAACGGUAGCUAAUACCGCAUAAUGUCGCAAGACCAAAGUGGGGGACCUUCGGGCCUCAUGCCAUCAGAUGUGCCCAGAUGGGAUUAGCUAGUAGGUGGGGUAAUGGCUCACCUAGGCGACGAUCCCUAGCUGGUCUGAGAGGAUGACCAGCCACACUGGAACUGAGACACGGUCCAGACUCCUACGGGAGGCAGCAGUGGGGAAUAUUGCACAAUGGGCGCAAGCCUGAUGCAGCCAUGCCGCGUGUAUGAAGAAGGCCUUCGGGUUGUAAAGUACUUUCAGCGAGGAGGAAGGCAUUAAGGUUAAUAACCUUGGUGAUUGACGUUACUCGCAGAAGAAGCACCGGCUAACUCCGUGCCAGCAGCCGCGGUAAUACGGAGGGUGCAAGCGUUAAUCGGAAUUACUGGGCGUAAAGCGCACGCAGGCGGUCUGUCAAGUCGGAUGUGAAAUCCCCGGGCUCAACCUGGGAACUGCAUUCGAAACUGGCAGGCUAGAGUCUUGUAGAGGGGGGUAGAAUUCCAGGUGUAGCGGUGAAAUGCGUAGAGAUCUGGAGGAAUACCGGUGGCGAAGGCGGCCCCCUGGACAAAGACUGACGCUCAGGUGCGAAAGCGUGGGGAGCAAACAGGAUUAGAUACCCUGGUAGUCCACGCCGUAAACGAUGUCGACUUGGAGGUUGUGCCCUUGAGGCGUGGCUUCCGGAGCUAACGCGUUAAGUCGACCGCCUGGGGAGUACGGCCGCAAGGUUAAAACUCAAAUGAAUUGACGGGGGCCCGCACAAGCGGUGGAGCAUGUGGUUUAAUUCGAUGCAACGCGAAGAACCUUACCUACUCUUGACAUCCAGAGAACUUAGCAGAGAUGCUUUGGUGCCUUCGGGAACUCUGAGACAGGUGCUGCAUGGCUGUCGUCAGCUCGUGUUGUGAAAUGUUGGGUUAAGUCCCGCAACGAGCGCAACCCUUAUCCUUUGUUGCCAGCGAUUCGGUCGGGAACUCAAAGGAGACUGCCAGUGAUAAACUGGAGGAAGGUGGGGAUGACGUCAAGUCAUCAUGGCCCUUACGAGUAGGGCUACACACGUGCUACAAUGGCAUAUACAAAGAGAAGCGACCUCGCGAGAGCAAGCGGACCUCAUAAAGUAUGUCGUAGUCCGGAUUGGAGUCUGCAACUCGACUCCAUGAAGUCGGAAUCGCUAGUAAUCGUAGAUCAGAAUGCUACGGUGAAUACGUUCCCGGGCCUUGUACACACCGCCCGUCACACCAUGGGAGUGGGUUGCAAAAGAAGUAGGUAGCUUAACCUUCGGGAGGGCGCUUACCACUUUGUGAUUCAUGACUGGGGUGAAGUCGUAACAAGGUAAAUC
rnacentral:rRNA from 1 species